rnacentral:misc_RNA from 1 species
AGUCGUAACAAGGUUUCCGUAGGUGAACCUGCGGAAGGAUCAUUAACACUGAUCAAAAAAAAACAUCUCAUUCAAACACUUGUGUGAAACAAACCCCCCCCUCAAAAAAAACAAAACAAAAUAUAAAACUCUUACGUAUCCUUUCUCUUUAAUUGCAAAAAAAAAAUUCAUAAUUGUGCUAAACACACACACACACACAAAAGAAAACAAAAGAAAACAACUCUUAACAAUGGAUAUCUUGGUUCUCGCGACGAUGAAAAACGCAGC